AGUGAACGCUGGCGGCAGGCCUAACACAUGCAAGUCGAGCGGCUGCGGGGCCUUCGGUAUGCCGUCGAGCGGCGGACGGGUGAGUAAUACAUCGGAAUCUGCCCUGUCGUGGGGGAUAACCUAGGGAAACGGAGGCUAAUACCGCAUACGACCUACGGGUGAAAGCGGGGGAUCGUAAGACCUCGCGCGACAGGAUGAGCCGAUGUCGGAUUAGCUAGUUGGCGGGGUAAAGGCCCACCAAGGCGACGAUCGGUAGCUGGUCUGAGAGGAUGAUCAGCCACACUGGGACUGAGACACGGCCCAGACUCCUACGGGAGGCAGCAGUGGGGAAUAUUGGACAAUGGGCGCAAGCCUGAUCCAGCCAUGCCGCGUGGGUGAAGAAGGCCUUCGGGUUGUAAAGCCCUUUUGUCCGGGAAGAAAUCGUCUGGGCUAAUACCCCGGGCGGAUGACGGUACCGGAAGAAUAAGCACCGGCUAACUUCGUG
rnacentral:rRNA from 1 species